rnacentral:antisense_RNA from 1 species
ACACACGCACGCGCGCUUCUUAAAGGAGACGGCUCAUAAAGGAUUCCCCACUACGCCAGCAGAGGGGAAGAGGAGCCCAUGGGAAAGAAAAGCAGGCGAGGUUAAGAAUAAAGAGUGUUCCAGGUAUGACAGCUACCUCGGUGAGGUGGAAGAGAGAAUUGACAAGGCAAAUUUCAUGGGUGAGUUGGAAAGGCAAGAAGCAGGACUACAAGAGGUCCUAUGUGGUAAGCAGAUGGAAAAUGCCGAAAAUGGUUUGCCAAAAAUUGUAUUAGACUGCAAUAACUUUUAUCCAAUAAAAGAAAAAAAAGGCUGAGGAAUGGGACUUUGCAGCUAUUGCUGUAAAAAUGUAAGAAAUGCCCACCCAACUUGACCCAAGACCCAAGAAGGUCUCAGGGAGACCUUCCUGACAGUCUGCCUUGUGCCCAGCAUGUGCUGCCCACAAAAUAAUUUUGAAGAUGUAAUAAAAAGCAAUGCCUUAUAUUGUAUAGUAUAUUAGAAUAUUCAGAAUGUUUCCAGACAUAGUAUCUCAUUUAAUUUUCACACCAUCUCUGAGGAUUUUGUUUUUAUUUUACAGAUGAAGUAAAUGAUAGCAAUA